GUGAGGAGCUGCUGCUGGCCCUUGUUUGAAUUUGUCAUGUAGAGGCUCUUGUUGAUCCCAACCCACCCUGUCAUACUCAUCAUAAGGAUACAAGCUCAAGUACAAAGAAGACGCAAAUCUUUACGGGACUCUUUAUUCCUUCAUUUUUUUAAGUCAUACGUGACUGACUUUCCAUGUAGGCUGUCAGGGGCUUGGCCAGGAGCUCCUCACCUGCACCUCAUUGACACUGAUUAGGAAAUGCAUUGAAGUCUUGUGUGUCUGAGUGUAAGUUGUGUUUGUUGUGCUUUGCGUUUUGUGAAUGAAUCUCCCUUGUUUCAACUUUUCUGUGCCACUUCAGUCAAGUCUUGUUCUUGUUUCAAGUUUUACCUCAUAGAUAUCGGACCUCGUUUCUCGGUUUUGGGAUUUUGCCUGUUAGCCUCGUGUUUUUUGUGCUUCCUUUUUAGAUCGCUUACCCGUGUAUGACCUCUGACAGAAUUAAACUACCCUCGAAAAUCAUUUCCCUGCAUUUGGGUCCUAUUCCUUACCGCAUGCUCAUGACAGUAGUCAUCGUUGUGUAUUAGGAUUAAUUCAACUUUUCAGUUCAUCGUCUGUUUUUGCAUUGAGAAAAAAAAGAUUCGACAUGGUUGUAUACCUUUCACAUUUCAAAUUCACAGUUAUUUGUCACGAGCAAGCAACAUGGGGGAGGACCCAAAUGCAGUCACACUGGAGUCACUCU